rnacentral:rRNA from 1 species
CCCUUAGAUGUUCUGGGCCGCACGCGCGCUACACUGAUGCAUUCAACGAGUGUACCUUGGCCGAGAGGCCUGGGCAAUCUUUUGAACGUGCAUCGUGAUAGGGAUAGAUUAUUGCAAUUAUUAAUCUUGAACGAGGAAUUCCUAGUAAACGCAGAUCAUCAAUCUGCAUUGAUUACGUCCCUGCCCUUUGUACACACCGCCCGUCGCACCUACCGAUUGAAUGGUCCGGUGAAGCCUCGGGAUUGUGGUUAGUUUCCUUCAUUGGAAGUUAGCCGCGAGAACUUGUCUAAACCUUAUCAUUUAGAGGAAGGUGAAGUCGUAACA